rnacentral:rRNA from 1 species
CAUCGGUCUCUCGAACGCAAAUGGCGGCUUUGGGCUUGCCCUUAGCCACGUUUGAUCGAGUGUCGGCU